GGGGAUUUAGCUCAGCGGCAUAAGCGCCUGCCUUGCAAGCAGGCAGUUGUGAGUUCGAUCCCCA
rfam:Cavia porcellus supercont2_46 genomic scaffold, whole genome shotgun sequence.